rnacentral:rRNA from 1 species
UACGAAGGGUGCAAACGUUGCUCGGAAUUAUUGGGCGUAAAGCGCACGUAGGCGGCUUGGCAAGUCGGAUGUGAAAUCCCUAGGCUCAACCUAGGAACUGCACUCGAAACUACUUUUCUUGAGUGCCGGAGAGGAAAGCGGAAUUCCUGGUGUAGAGGUGAAAUUCGUAGAUAUCAGGAGGAACACCAGUGGCGAAGGCGGCUUUCUGGACGGUAACUGGCGCUGAGACGCGAAAGCGUGGGGAGCAAACAGG